AUGAGAGAAGUCAAAUGUUUCUGGGGGUGUUAUUUGUACCGUAGUCGCCAUCGUGACGUGUGGAUCCCUGGCUUCCUCGCGUUCAGAAUCCAAGCUUUCCGGUGCGCCGACCCCGUCUCCUCCUUCCGACAUGUGAGGCUCGUACCUACAGAACAUGCUGUAGGUAUUACAGCACUGCUGGACGGAAACGAUUCUGCUCAGCUGAAACACUUCGAUAAAGAAACUGGAAGCUCUCUCACAGUCGGAUGUUCCUUUAAACAACCUGGAAACAGAGCGUUGUUCUGCAGGGGAGAAUGUGGAGGAAACAAUACUCUUGUUCAAACAGAUGAUGUCAAAGCUCAAAGAGGCAAAUACAACAUUGGAUAUGCUUCACAUACAGAUCCAGGAGUUCUGUAUGUGAGCAUCACACAGCUGACCAAGUCUGACUCAGGACGGUACAGAUGUUUACUGAGUGGAUCUUCCAGCAGCUCAUUCAGAGAGUUUGAGGUCACUGUCACAGAUGUCAUCCCAUCAUUAACUGGACAGAACCAGUAUGGGCUGUAUGUGGGUCUGACUCUGACUGUCACCAUCAUCCUGGUCUCAGUGUCUGUGCUGAUAUUCUACAAGAAAAGAUCCUCUAAACGAAAAGAUGUUCCUGUGGAAACACAGUAUGCUGAUGUCACAGAGGCUACAGACAACUCAAACAAACCCACCCAUAGUGCACUGAGUUUUCUUAACAAGGCCCGUGUCUCUCCCAAGAACGCCUCCUGUAGUAACACCGAUGAAGUUGUCUCCUCCGUGUCUCGAAAAGUGCACUUUAAGAACUUUACUCCAGUUUCUACAUGUAAAGCCUCAAACUACCAGAACCUUAAUGGAGCCACCAGAGACCUGGACCAAAUCUACUCCACACUCACAAAUCACUGACCAGACUCUCCAGAUUCAGAGCUGAACAUGAACAUCAAAAAGACAAUAAAAAUCAAAUAAAAUUAAUAUUUCUAUUCUGUGUUAAAGGCCAAGCCAAAAAAAGAUGACCUCUAAAAAGAUGACGCAGUGAGUCAGACUAGCGUCCAGUCAUAAAGCUGGCCAAGCUAGUUUUUGCACAUUUGUGAAGAAUUCAUGUAGCUGUCAUAUUAGCAGACAUAUUGGGGUUUGUUUUUCCUAGAUGAUCCCAGACUGUACAGGAAUUUAAACAAUGAUCAGAAACAUGAAAUUAAUGAGUCACCUUUCAAGGUAGCAAAACAAAAUCAUUUAAAAGUACAGAGAAGAUUGUGGUGCUGAAACUUUCUGAAGUCCAAUACAUUUUAUGGGUGGUUGAUCUUCUGAAAAACUCCUUUUACUAAACAUCAAGUAGGAUUAGAAACAACUUUAGAACUUAAUAACUUAAGUUACUUACUCAAUAAAAAGACUCUCCCUACAUCUACAGCUGUAGAUGUCUAAGGGAGGAGUGUCGAGAUUAAAUGAAUCAAACAUAAUGUUCAACCACUCACAAAGAUCCAAGUCAAUAACUGUACAUCCUAAUCAGCAAAACAAGCAGUUUUUUUGUAAAACAAUAAACUGUCAUUUACAAAUACUCGCCUCCAGAGUCGGAACAGAAGUAUGAAGGCUUGUGAAUAUGCUCUCCCAUUUUCCUGGAAUAAUGUACAGGAGCCGACACUGUGAGGUUCCUCUGACGGAGUUUAACAGCAGGAACAUGAAUAAAGGAAUUUCUUGUCUUUGUCAGUGUGACUGCUUUUGCUCUCGUUCUUGAUAUGUUAUUGAAUAGAAUCUGGAUGUUGUGUUCAUUUGUUUGCGUGUUGCUGAAUUUGUUUCUUCACUUGUGUUUUUAUUUGUUGUCAAAGAGAUUUUAAUCUGAAUGAGAUGCUUUAGCAGGACAAAUAAAGAAUUGAUGUUAUCCAG